AAUAAAAGAAAUAUUAGAAUUCUCUCAAUACAACGGAUCCUCAUAGGGCUCCUCCCCCUACCUCGGCCAUUUUGUGGACAGACGGUGGAGAGUCGCAGAAGUGUUCACAUUACUUCAGCCUUCACGACCAUAACCAGAUAACCUCUCACUCACACGCAUGAACCCUUGCAAGUAAUUGAACUGUGAAGAAUUAGCAGCCAUGAGCCUAAAAUAGUAUUAGUACAACCAUCACAACAGUCACCACUGCUAAAUACUACUACUACUACAACAGUGAAGUGGUGUCCAUUAGAGGUGGUGAGGCCAGAUGUUGAGAGAGGUCACUUUUCUCCUU